ACUGAAUAGAUACCCGGGUAGUCCCAGCUGUAAACGAUGCAGACUAGGUGUUUGGACGGCCACGUGCCGUUCUAGUGCCGCAGGGAAGCUGUUAAGUCUGCCGCCUGGGGAGUACGAUCGCAAGAUUGAAACUUAAAGGAAUUGGCGGGGGAGCACCACAAGGGGUGAAGCUUGCGGUUUAAUUGGAGUCAACGCCGGAAAUCUCACCGGGAGCGACAGCAGUAUGAAAGCCAGAUUGAAGGUCUUGCUAGACGAGCUGAGAGGAGGUGCAUGGCCGUCGCCAGUUCGUGCCGUGAGGUGUCCUGUUAAGUCAGGCAACGAUCGAGACCCGCGUCCUCUGUUGCAACCAGUUUUGUGCUGGGCACACUGAGGAGACCGCCACUGAUAAAGUGGAGGAAGGAGCGGGCCACGGCAGGUCAGUAUGCCCCGAAUCUCCGGGCACACGCGAGCUGCAAUGGCAAGUACAAUGGGUUCCGACCUCGAAAGGGGGAGGCAAUCUCGAAAGCUUGCCGUAGUUGGAAUUGA
rnacentral:rRNA from 1 species